rnacentral:rRNA from 1 species
GGGCGGUCUCCUCCUAAAGAGUAACGGAGGAGCACGAAGGUUGGCUAAUCCUGGUCGGACAUCAGGAGGUUAGUGCAAUGGCAUAAGCCAGCUUGACUGCGAGCGUGACGGCGCGAGCAGGUGCGAAAGCAGGUCAUAGUGAUCCGGUGGUUCUGAAUGGAAGGGCCAUCGCUCAACGGAUAAAAGGUACUCCGGGGAUAACAGGCUGAUACCGCCCAAGAGUUCAUAUCGACGGCGGUGUUUGGCACCUCGAUGUCGGCUCAUCACAUCCUGGGGCUGAAGUAGGUCCCAAGGGUAUGGCUGUUCGCCAUUUAAAGUGGUACGCGAGCUGGGUUUAGAACGUCGUGAGACAGUUCGGUCCCUAUCUGCCGUGGGCGCUGGAGAACUGAGGGGGGCUGCUCCUAGUACGAGAGGACCGGAGUGGACGCAUCACUGGUGUUCGGGUUGUCAUGCCAAUGGCACUGCCCGGUAGCUAAAUGCGGAAGAGAUAAGUGCUGAAAGCAUCUAAGCACGAAACUUGCCCCGAGAUGAGUUCUCCCUGACCCUUUAAGGGUCCUGAAGGAACGUUGAAGACGACGACGUUGAUAGGCCGGGUGUGUAAGCGCAGCGAUGCGUUGAGCUAACCGGUACUAAUGAACCGUGAGG